rnacentral:siRNA from 1 species
UACGUGUUUUGGAAGCCUCGGUA